rnacentral:rRNA from 1 species
GUGGGGGAUCUUGCGCAAUGGGCGAAAGCCUGACGCAGCGACACCGCGUGAGGGACGACGGCCCUCGGGUUGUAAACCUCUUUCGGCAGGGACGAAGCGAUCGUGACGGUACCUGCAGAAGAAGCUCCGGCUAACUACGUGCCAGCAGCCGCGGUAAGACGUAGGGAGCGAGCGUUGUCCGGAUUCAUUGGGCGUAAAGAGCGCGCAGGCGGCUUGGUAAGUCGGAUGUGAAAACCCGGAGCUCAACUCCGGGCGUGCAUCCGAAACUGCCCGGCUAGAGGUAGGUAGGGGAGAUCGGAAUUCCUGGUGUAGCGGUGGAAUGCGCAGAUAUCAGGAGGAACACCGGUGGCGAAGGCGGAUCUCUGGGCCUUACCUGACGCUCAGGCGCGAAAGCUAGGGGAGCAAACAGGAUUAGAAACCCCAGUAGUCC